rnacentral:lncRNA from 1 species
UUGAUCUCUUGACCUCGUGAUCCGCCUGCCUCGGCCUCCCAAAGUGCUGGGAUUACAGGUGUGUGCCACCGCACCCGGCUGCUUUGUAAGUUUUUUAUACAUUGGAAAAAAAAAAUCCCUGGGAUGUAGCUUACAGAUAAAUUCAGAUUGACUUGGGAAUGCCAAUGGAAUAUAUGGAUUAACCAUCUGACCAUGUAUGCAUGUGUAUUUACUCCUUGUAAGUAGUUCUCUUUAUUUUUCUCUGUGUGAUUACAUGUUGCUUUUUACACUAGGAUUGAGCAUUUUUUCUGUGUGGCCUUUCAUCUUCUGUAAAAUAGUUUUCAGUCAUCUUGUCACAUUAAAGUCAUUUGUAUAUUUAUUGCUUCAUUUCUUCCCUUUUUUCUUUUUUUAACUUACUCUGUAGGCUAAUUCUUUUUCAUUUAUAGGGAUUGCUAAUAUUUUGUUCCAGGGAGUGAUUUAUCUUUUCACUCCAUUCUACAUUUUGAUGGACUCUUUUAAAUUUUUUUGUUUGUUGGCUUUUUUGGCCGCCUUCUGCAUGCACCAUCAUCAAGGGUGGGGAAGGGUACUCUUCUUGAUUUUAAUUGAGUUGACUUUGGCUCUUCCUUUCAGGCCUACUUAAUUUUCUUGUAAGAGAACACUCUAGGGAGUGUAUAUUUAGGGCAACUUGAAUCUGUGCUCCCAGGUUAAAUAAAGAACACUCUCCCUACUGUCAAGUUGGAAAAAAAAUUGUAACUUAUGAAAGUUUGCUACUUUUUAAAAUUUUUAAAUUUUUUAUUUUCUCUUUUUUGAGACAGAGUCUCGCUCUGCCACCCAGGCUGGAGUGCAGUGGCAUGAUUCCUGGGAUUACAGGCGCCCACCACCACACCUGGCUAAUUUUUGUAUUUUUAGUAGAGNNNNNNNNNNCAGGCUGGAGUGCAGUGGCAUGAUGUUGGCUCAUUGCAAAUAAAAAUACAAUAUCAGUGGUGGUCCAAAGUAACAUCACUGCCCAAGCUAAGGCCACCCUUGAGCCUGCUAAGAGUAGUAAUUAAAGGCUCUGUUGGUUCUUCUUGGGGAGCCUUCCUGUUCAUACCAUUAAGCCCUUUAUACCAAGAGAAGCCACAGAGCACUGGAAAGCUGGGGAUCCACAUGCACAUGUUUUGGGUGGAGGGGUUGCUUUCUGAGGUUGUAAUUGUGGUUUUCUUGGGCGUGUUUUUUAGACAUGAGGUUUGUUUUGAAUUCACAAUGUUGCCGCAUUCAGAGUAUAAUUCUUACAUAUUGAGAAAGCAUGUGAAGUUCAGGAGUGCUGUCUCCAGGACACAGGGUUAAUGAAUUUCGGAGGUUAUUUUUGGGCCAGAACCUUAAAGUAAAUCCAGCUGAGAGUUUCUUCUGCCCAAGAAUUGAAGCCUGGGAGAGGAAGUAUUUUCACACUGCCGGGGGCCAAUUAGGGUGUACGGAGCUCCCAGAGUUCAUUCCUGUGGCUACUCAAGUGUCUCUUCCCUUCAUCACCAGGGACUAUUCCACUCUAGAAGUUACAUGUCAGAGGGAGAGCAUGGACCUCAAGCAUGUUAAGGUGUUUAACCUCUUGAAUGUGGGUUUUCCUUGUGAAUUGUGGGGA